rnacentral:rRNA from 1 species
ACUAUGUGUAUGUAGAUCCUACUCUUAACAAGUAGAGGGAAAGGGCUGGGAAAGACCGGUGCCAGCCGCCGCGGUAAUACCGGCAGCUCAAGUGGUCGUCGCUUUUAUUGGGCCUAAAACGUCCGUAGCCUGUUUGGUAAAUCUGUGGGUAAAUCAAUCCGCUCAACGGAUUGAAUUCUGCAGAGACUGCCAGACUAGGGACCGGGAGAGGUGUGGGGUACUCUAGGGGUAGGGGUAAAAUCCUGUCAUCCUUCGAGGACCACCAGUUGCGAAGGCGCCACACUGGAACGGAUCCGACGGUCAGGGACGAAGCCUAGGGGCACGAACCGGAUUAGAUACCCGGGUAGUCCUAGGUGUGGACGCUGUGAACUUGGUGUCGGGGGUCCGCAAGGGGUCCCCGUGCCGGAGUGAAGAUGUUAAGUUCACUGCCUGGGGAGUACGUCGCAAGGCUGAACUCAAAGGAAUUGACGG